AAUGAGCUAUCCAUUAUUGGUUUAGCUAAAAUGCUGGCUGUAUAAAGGGGUAGUUCAUCCAAAAAUGAAAAUUCUGUCAUUUAUUACUCACGCUCAUGCCGUUCCAGACCCGUAAGACCUUCGCUAAUCUUCGGAACGCAAAUUGAGAUAUUUUUGUUUAAAUCCGAUGGCUCCGUGAGGCCUACAUAGGGAGCAAUGACAUUUCCUCUCUCAAGAUCCAUAAAGGUACUAAAAACAUAUUUAAAUCAGUUCAUGUGAGUACAAUGGUUCAAUAUUAAUAUUAUAAAGCGACGAGAAUAUUUUUGGUGCGCCAAAAAAAAAAAAAAAAAUAACGAAUUAUUUAGUGACGGCCGAUUUUAAACACUGCUUCAGGAAGCUUCGGAGCGUAAUGAAUCAGCGUGUCGAAUCCGCAGUUCGGAGCGCCAAAGUCACGUGAUUUCAGCAGUUUGGCGGUUUGACACGCGAUCCGAAUCAUGAUUCGACACGCUGAUUCAUUAUGCUCUGAAUCUUCCUGAAGCAGUGUUUUGAAAUCGGCCAUCACUAAAUAAAAAACGGCACGAGGGUGAGUAAUUAAUGACAGAAUUUUUAUUUUCGGGUGAACUAACCCUUUAAAGCAGGGAUGGGCAACUUCGAUAGUGACGACCCAACAAACAGAACGUUGGCACAACGUAGCUAACCCUCUAACAACGUUUUAACAACGUUGCCAAAAGGUUGCUAUAACUACGUUACGUUGUGAAGGUUGUUACAGCGUUGUCACAAUGUUGACAUCUGACCACCGCUCAGUUCCAUUGCUCAAGGUUGCGCUUGGGUGUCUGGACUACCACUGGACGACGUGUACUUGUCACUGCUUCCUCUGGAGCGCGGAUUUUAAAUUUCCACGACCGUUGAAUCGUCUCUUCAUCGAGCAAGGAAGAAUAUAUGAGAACGUUACAACGUCUACUGGUCAGCUUUCAGUCAGGCGACUGGAGCAGAGACCUGGAGGGCAAAACACCUAUAGAACCGCAGGACAGGCCUGACAAUUUUCCAUCUGUUUCAAACAACAAAUAUUACAUCGCGUCUCAAAAAAAGGCAAUAUCAACACCAUACAACAGGCCCUGCUCUCCUCACCAAGAACAACACCCAAGCCAUCACGGACAUGGAAAGUUCUUGACAUCUUGCCAAGAACUGGAUUUUUUGAGAUGCUAGGGGGGACUAUGGAGCAACUAUACAUACAUUCAGUGAUGCCACAGUAAUUUAAGUAAUUUCUCCUUUAAGAGUGAAGGACAAGGUUAUGGCUCAUCAAUUUUAAGUCACUCUGGUCAGUCCCGGUCUGUCAUGUCAAGCUCCGAUCUGCUCUGUUCUCUGCCCAGUUUACCUGUGCCUGCAGUUCAACUCUCUCUGGUCCCAGAUGUCUACAGGUUUCGGACUCAUGCUUCAAGGUUUCUGCGCUUGCAUCUCUCCUGGAUUUGUUGAUCUUUCCUGAAUUCAUUCUGGUUACCAGUCUUUUCACCUGUCCUUCGACUGUGCUCACCUGUCAGCCAUGUACAGAGCCCACUUUUGUUCAAUAAAUGUUCUAAACUGC